rnacentral:lncRNA from 1 species
GGGAAGGAAGGAGGGAGCCGGGGAGUGGGCCAGGGCAGCAGCCGGGCUGAAGUCGGCUUGGGGAGCCAGAGGGAGCGGAGCGGAACCUGCGGGGCAGAGGCGGCGGCCGCAGCGGCGCAGCUGAUAGCAGGAACAGGGCCCUGGGUAUCAUGUCCACAUGCCCAGCAAGAGCCUUGCCUCCCCUGCCUCCCCUCCUUUUUCCUGUCCACCUAUAUGACCAAUCCCUAAUUGCUGUCCUGAUGAUGAGUCAUUCCAAUUUACUGGAUUUAAAACAAAAAGUUGUUACGGUUUCAUGGGGUGGCCCCUCUCUCUCUCACCCUCUGGGUUUCGGGAGGUCGAGUGGGGUAUUCUCUUUGUUUGGCAGUGGUUGCUGUCCUCUUGGCAUCUGAGUCCUUUCCCUGUCCCCACAAGCCCUUCUACUCCCUGUUUGCCUUUCCUUUGCCACCCUCUCCCUGUUUUACAUGGAAAUUGCACGGGCCUCUCUGUGUUUGCGUGCAUGUGUGCGCCUGUAUAUACAUGUAUAGAGAGAUAUAUUUGUGGGGGCCGGGGGGAGCGGGGAGGGG